AACGAACGCUGGCGGCAGGCUUAACACAUGCAAGUCGAACGGUUGUAGCAAUACAUCAGUGGCAGACGGGUGAGUAACACGUGGGAACCUUCCUAGGGGUACGGAACAACUCAGGGAAACUUGAGCUAAUACCGUAUACGUCCGUGAGGAGAAAGAUUUAUCGCCCUUAGACGGGCCCGCGUCGGAUUAGGUAGUUGGUGGGGUAACGGCCUACCAAGCCUACGAUCCGUAGCUGAUCUUAGAGGAUGAUCAGCAACACGGGGACUGAGACACAGCCCAGACUCCUACAGGAGGCAGCAGUGGGGAAUCUUGGACAAUGGGCGCAAGCCUGAUCCAGCCAUGCCGCGUGAGUGAAGAAGGCCUUAGGGUUGUAAAGCUCUUUUACCAGGGACGAUAAUGACGGUACCUGGAGAAUAAGCCCCGGCAAACUUCGUGCCAGCAGCCGCGGUAAAAC
rnacentral:rRNA from 1 species